CAGGCAGGAAUGGAGUAAGGGCUGAGCCAGGCAGUGCUGGGCGUGCAGGCCUGGGCUGUGGUGGCUGCAGCGGGGGCCGCUGCCGUGGGGGCUGGAUCCUGGGCCUGGAGGGCAGCAGCGGUGUGCCGGGCUGAGGCUGCAGUGGAGGUCUUGGUGGCACUGCCUGCCGCGGUGCUUCCGGUUGCCUUGUGUCAGACUGCGAUUUCAG
rnacentral:lncRNA from 1 species